UUCUUUUCUGGGAAAUUGAAAGGUGGUUCUGAGAUCGUAAUGACUAAAAUAUCAUACCUUUUUGCUUCAAACACGGUUUUCUUUCAGUUUCUUUCUAUUUAAUUGUUAGUUUUUAAUCUGUUCUUAAUAGAGUGUGAGAAAUUGGUUUUCAAUUUCUCCGCCUCAACUUCUGUACAACCUCCUAAUUCUGAUUUCUCUGUUACUCCAACUACUUCGGCAAAAGCUCUAUCAUUGGCCUUUGAACAAAAAAAAAAAAAAAAAAAAGCUCUAUUAUUGGCCCAACCUCGAAAAUCUCCCUCCCCUCUUUCAGCCAUUUUAAUUUCGGCGACCUUCCGUCAACGACAAAAAGAUUUAUGGUAGACGAGACUCUAAUUCGAAGCACAAUGAGUUUUAUUUCAAAAUCUUAGUAAAUUACGAUGAAGAAGAAGAAGUCGGGUUGUCGGGUUAAAUUUUUGGGUUGAGUUAAAUUGGAAUUGGGUUUUAGUUCUGUAUAAGAUCAUGUUUGGUGGUUUUUGUUUUGGUUUGUGAAUAGUAACUAUUAAUUGAUAAUAAGUUUCGAAUUUUUAAGUUGAUAAAAUAUAGAUUUAGAACCUUUUUCGGAGAGAUUUAACACAAUGUUUAGUAUGUGAAACAUCUUGUGUUAUACAAUACUUUUUAG
rnacentral:lncRNA from 1 species